GAUGAACGCUGGCGGCGUGCCUAAUACAUGCAAGUCGAGCGAACGGACGAGAAGCUUGCUUUUCUGAUGUUAGCGGCGGACGGGUGAGUAACACGUGGAUAACCUACCUAUAAGACUGGGAUAACUUCGGGAAACCGGAGCUAAUACCGGAUAAUAUUUUGAACCGCAUGGUUCAAAAGUGAAAGACGGUCUUGCUGUCACUUAUAGAUGGAUCCGCGCUGCAUUAGCUAGUUGGUAAGGUAACGGCUUACCAAGGCAACGAUGCAUAGCCGACCUGAGAGGGUGAUCGGCCACACUGGAACUGAGACACGGUCCAGACUCCUACGGGAGGCAGCAGUAGGGAAUCUUCCGCAAUGGGCGAAAGCCUGACGGAGCAACGUCGCGUGAGUGAUGAAGGUCUUCGGAUCGUAAAACUCUGUUAUUAGGGAAGAACAUAUGUGUAAGUAACUGUGCACAUCUUGACGGUACCUAAUCAGAAAGCCACGGCUAACUACGUG
rnacentral:rRNA from 1 species